AACAUCAGCAUUUUAAUCUUUGCCUCCCCAUCUGUGCCUGAGAUGCUAGCUCAGAAUACUUGGGGAAAAGUAGGAAGUCAGUUUGGUUGCUGCAUUGAGUCCAUGGUGUGUAGGAAGAAACCCAGGCAAUUCUGUGGUUUGACGGUUGGUCAGCUCAGUGGGACCCUUCUCCUGUUCUUCUUUGCUGGGGAUGUUCUCAAGCUUGCCAUCAACUCCAGGGUGUGAACAGUGCUUAGUAGAGAUUGGAAUCUUCCUGACUGUUUUCCCUACCUGGUUCAUUCAUCAAAAUGGAAAAUUAUUCUGCAUAACUCUCAAGUAAUGCAUGACAAGAGAGAAGUGAUUCCCAGAAGACUUUAAAAUUAAAUGAAAAGAGAUCCAAAGGCCCAAAUUACAUGGAGCCACAAAUCACAUACAGAAGUCAAAUCAAUAGGAUUUGACCAACUAGUGGAAACGACUUGACAGAGAAGAAAUUACUUCUUUCAGAUCCUACUAAUUGUUGAAUAGAACACAUAUUCAUGGAAUUCAUUCACAGUUGAAGUGCAUUCACUGGAUAGGUUAGAGAAAAGCUCUUAUCAAACUACACUUUAAAAUAUAAGCAAUAGAGGGUUGGUUAACAUUUAAUAUUAAUCUACCAUUUGGGGCAUUCAAUGAAAAGAGCAAAGUUCAAGCUUUGAACCAGGAAGCAAAACAUUCAAAGUUGGUUGGAUUUUCAGGCAGAAAUACAAGUCUAAUAGUCCAUGUUGAGUUAUAGAGUUCUGAUGCAGACAUCUAGAAAAAUGAGUUUCCAAACAAUUAGUUUUCAUCAACAGUAUCUGAUGGGUCUAAGAACGCAAUUUAAAUGCGUGUCAUUUCUGGAAAGAGAUCUAAAUUUAGAGCCUUGCUAAUGUCCAGCAUUAUCCUCCCAAGCCUCUUCAGAUGCACCUGUCCUGACCACGGAAGUCCAUCCAACUGGGGGGAGCUCACCGCUUCCGGCUCAGGAGUUAUUACAGCCUGCCUCCCACUUGCCUGCUUUUAAUCCUUUGUCUCUCCCUGGUGACCUUGGUUCUUUGAUUCUGUUGU